UACGGGGGGGCAAGCGUUGUUCGGAAUUACUGGGCGUAAAGGGCUCGUAGGCGGCCAACUAAGUCGGAUGUGAAAUCCCCAGGCUCAACUUGGGAACUGCAUCCGAUACUGGAUGGCUUGAAUUCGGGAGAGGGAUGCAGAAUUCCAGGUGUAGCGGUGAAAUGCGUAGAUAUCUGGAGGAAUACCGGUGGCGAAGGCGGCAUCCUGGACCGACAUUGACGCUGAGGAGCGAAAGCUAGGG
rnacentral:rRNA from 1 species